GGGUGAGUGAUGUAAUUGGUAACAUACUUCCUUUGCAAGGAAGAAUUAAGGGUUCAAAUCCCUCUUGCUCCA
rnacentral:tRNA from 1 species